UACAGAGGGUGCAAGCGUUAAUCGGAAUUACUGGGCGUAAAGGGUCUGUAGGCGGAUUAUUAAGUCGGAUGUGAAAUCCCCGGGCUCAACCUGGGAACGGCAUUCGAUACUGGUAGUCUAGAGUGUGCAAGAGGAUGGGGGAAUUCCUGGUGUAGCAGUGAAAUGCGUAGAGAUCAGGAGGAACAUCAAUGGCGAAGGCACCUUUCUGGGGCAACACUGACGCUGAGAGACCAAAGCGCGGGGAGCAAACCGGAUUAGAUGCCCCGGUAGUCC
rnacentral:rRNA from 1 species